CAGCGCCGGCGUGUGCCCGGAGACGCGGGGUGGUGAGCCAAUCCAAUAAGAUCAAAAUUUCUAAUGAAUGCGAUGGUUUUUACGUAAAAAAUGAAACAUUUUCACUUAAACAGAGACCGCGGGUUCAAUUACCAGAAAGAACAUGGAUCUUUUUGUAAAACUGCCGCGACGAAAAUUCCGACAGAAGCAAUAGCCUCUUUAUUAUUAGGUAUAUAUAUAGUUGCGACCUUAUCAAAAUUUGAGUAGAAGACGGUUUCGGGCCUUCCGGGUGUAGUUCUGAUUGUUUAUACGCCCUUGUUUCUGGCCUUGCUUCUGCCGUACGUCGUCGGUCAUUUUGCAGAAAAACCCUUGCGUUUUUCACAAAUCAAGCCGCAGUCCGGAUAUAAGUGACAAGCAUGAACCGUUUUUUUGUUGUCUUGCAAAAAGACCCUUCUGUUUUCAUGGAAACAACCCGCAAUCCGUUUUGUCCGCAUUUUACUGAAAAAACCCUAACUUUUACGAUAUUAUACGUACGUAUCUCCUGUUGCACGCAAGUUACUGAUGUGAAUCAUCAUGCAGUUUUCUUUAACAUUGUGAAUCAUGUAGGCCAUCAAAUUGUUAUUCCUGCGAUAUACUUCUAUUUUGUUCCUCUGAUGCUUCUUUGAGGUGUAAAUACCUUGAAUUUUCACAUAUUAAAAACAAUGUCCGUGAAUUUA
rnacentral:lncRNA from 1 species